rnacentral:rRNA from 1 species
AGCGAACGCUGGCGGCAGGCCUAACACAUGCAAGUCGAACGAACCUUUCGGGGUUAGUGGCGGACGGGUGAGUAACACGUGGGAACGUGCCUUUAGGUUCGGAAUAACUCAGGGAAACUUGUGCUAAUACCGAAUGUGCCCUUCGGGGGAAAGAUUUAUCGCCUUUAGAGCGGCCUGCGUCUGAUUAGCUAGUUGGUUGAGGUAAUGGCUCACCAAGGCGACGAUCAGUAGCUGGUCUGAGAGGAUGAUCAGCCACAUUGGGACUGAGACACGGCCCAAACUCCUACGGGAGGCAGCAGUGGGGAAUCUUGCGCAAUGGGCGAAAGCCUGACGCAGCCAUGCCGCGUGAAUGAUGAAGGUCUUAGGAUUGUAAAAUUCUUUCACCGGGGACGAUAAUGACGGUACCCGGAGAAGAAGCCCCGGCUAACUUCGUG